rnacentral:lncRNA from 13 species
UGUUAUUUAAUGUUAUUAUUUAUAUGUAAUUUUAAAGACUGCUGGGAUUUAAAAUAUUGUAUUUUAAAAAUCAUAUUCAUUGCAAUUGUACAUCAUGGAUUGUAUGGAAAGGAACAACAAAGAAAGAACAAAGAAAAUGUAUGUGCAGUGUCCGUGGCAGGGCAGAAAUUGGACCAGGAGAUGUCAUGGACUAGGACACAGGGACAGGCUGUCUCCUUCAGCUGCAAAGAUACUUACCAGUGUACAACGUUUGUCUACUGGUACCAGAAGAAGGAGGGAGAACCUUUUACCUUGAUUCUUGACAUCCAAAAGGAUAACUGCGCUGUCGAUGCAAGUUACAACCAUCCUCAAAAAGAUGACUUCUCAGCAACAAGUAUGAAUAACAACUGUGAUCUAAAAAUCCAGUCUGUUAAAGUCUCCCAUUCUGCCACCUACUACUGUGCCUGCUGGAACCCACAGUGACAACACAUCCAUUCACCCUGUACAAAAACUCUGGUUUUAGUCAAGCUGUGAAUUUAUAAAAAUUAAAAAACAUAAUCAGAGGAACAUUUUUAGAUGUCUCUCCCAGCUGGUGUUUCAUCUCUCAUCUUCAUAAUCGACUAUAUGAUGAAAACCAUACUUCAGUAAAGAUCUGUGAAAUAAAUUUGACUUUAUGUGAUUUCUUAUUCACACUGAUAUUGUUCAAUGUUAUAUCGAACACGUAGCUUUUAAUUUCUUAAGCACAUAUUCACUGAACAUGGACUGUGGUAUAAUAAUAUUCUCUUUUUCUAGGUAAGUCAUUCAUCCAACCUGUAUACAAAUAUUUGAAUGUAGUAACUCGACUGUGAUUCUUUUUGUGAUAAUUUAUGUUUUACAGUGGCUGCUUCAGGACAGCGGCUGCAACAGGACCAGAUAUCAGAGACCAGGUGUGUGUUGGGGUAAACUUGUUCAUUAGUACCAGAAGAGAGAGGGUGAACCCUUCACCUGGAUUCUAUACUUUGAUUUUGAUUACAAUUCUGUCACUUCAGAUACUUCCCAUCCUCAGGGAGCAGAUUUCUGUUUUAAGAGGGAGUCUGACUCCAGUUAGCUGAAGAUCCAGUCAGUUAUAGCGUCCCAUUCUGCCACCUACGCUGCCUGCUGGGACACAGGACUCCACAGUGAGAACUGAUCCAAACAGCCUGUACAAACACUCUGUGGUUUUAACGAAGCUUUCAAUUCAUGAGAAGGUUUCUGCACCACAGGAUGUGACAUAAUCAGAGGUUAGGGUGGUGUCUUCUUCAAAUCCAUGGUGAAAUGCUACUCUAAAAGGAAUUCUAAAUACAUUUGCAAGAUGUCUUGCCAAUGAGCAAACAGUGACUAAACUUCGUUCUCCUGAUGUGCCCUUUAUGUAUGUAAAUUGAUUUUUGAUAAUGACUGAGCUUUCGGUCAGUCAACCUUCAUCAGAGCCCUACACAGGAAAGACAAGGAGGGAAAGAGUGUCUCCUUAAUUUGUAGUUGUCAGCCAGUGUAGGGCUAACUUCUUCUACUGGUACCUGAAGAGAUAGGUGAAUGAGACAUGGCAGAAAUCGGGAGUUGUUUCUCAGAUCUGCAAGGAGGAGUAACAGAGGGCCAACUUAUUGGAAUGAAAUGCAGGUCAGGAUUCUCAUUUCCUACCAUGAGUAAAUUAUAAUUUACUUCAUUAAUUUUCAUUCUUAUAUUUUGAUUCUUAACUUAAAAUAAUAUACAUGUAUAUAUUUUUUUAUUUGCUGUAGCAUGUGACAUUGCACAGCUGGAGACCUAAGCUGGUUUGAAAAUGGUCGAUUUACACAAUGUAGAAACCUAUUUUUCCACAAAUAACAUUGUAAUUUCAAUAACAGGUAUUUCUAUCGAACUUUCACAAUAAACAAAUAUCUUUACUGGGUUACAUUUAAGCUUCUAGGGCACAACAUGUGCUUCAGAAGAAGCUAUAAUUCAUAUAGGCCCAUUAUAGAUUAUACCUCAACCAAUUUUCUGGUACUCCUAAUUUGUAUGAUGUGCUCCAAACUUUAAGUUGGGAGUACCACUCAUACCAAAUAUUUUUUUUAACUAAGUGCUGUAGGCAUCAUGUUCCAACUCAUUAUGUGUGUUUGUGUGUGGGUGUGUGUGUGUGUGUGUGUGUGUGUGUGUGUGUGUGUGUGUGUGUGUGUACUUUUACUGCUGUAAAGGGAAUUAAGGGACGAUUGUUUUGUUGAUAACCUUGUAAAUUAUACAUGUAAAAAAUAUAUUAUAGAGAAAAACAUGAAAUUCUGUUAAUUGGUUAACAUUUGCAGAGGCUACGUGACCAUAGGAGGCAUAGGGGAAUGUUUUCCGUCAGAUAAGUCCGUUUUAUUUUACAUUGAUUGUUUUUAUACAUAGGAUUAAGCAUAAUUAUAAUUAUUAUUGCUC